CCCCGGCCCCGGCCCCGAGGAUGCUGCUGAAGGGGAGGCUCCGCGCGGCCAGCGGGCGCGGCAACUUGGAGUCGUCGCUGCUGAAACUUUGGGGGCGGCCCCUGCCCCUGGACCGGAGCCCCCCGUGUGUGGGCGCGGGGCCGCCCCCUCGUGCAAGCGCCACGCGGGCGCCCCGAGCCCGGCGCAGCGGCGCGCGCCCCGUCUGGACAGUGCCCCCGAGCUGGAGCUCUCGGGGCUGUCCCCGUCCCGGCUCGCGAAGGGGCGGCAGGGAGCCCUGAGGGUUGUGUCGUGCCUCAGAGCCGGAGCCGCGGCCCCGCCUGUCGGGUCGGCGCGGCCCGUGGCAGCUGCGGUCGCCCCCGUAGGACUCCGGGUCUCCUGCCUCGCUUCCCCGCCGCUGCGUCCCCCCGGGGCGCCCAGCUCCUUCCGUGGCGCCAGGGCUAACUCUCCACGGGGUCCCGAGGGCUCCCUCCUCCCUCCUGGGCCGCUGCUGCCUGGAACGACCUCACCGGGGAGCUGCUCUGAGGCACCCCUCACCCCCAGCAGUAGCUCAAUCACAGUCUCCUUCCAUGCAGGUUUCCACCACGGACUUGCUUUGUCUCCACCCUGCCCUGCCUUCCAGCCGGCUGACUGGUUCAGAAAGGCCCGAGCUGGCCUAAGCAAGCAACACCCCUGACCUACCUUCUGCCCAAGCUCAGACUACCAGGGCUUGCCACCUCUUCCCUUACUCUGAGUUAGUUAUUUUUUUACUGUGUGAACUAUCCCCCUUCCUUUGUCCCAGGUAGCACAGUGCUUUGGAAAGGUGCUGGACCAACGAUCUUUGGGAAUGAAGUUCAUGUUCUCUUUUAUCUGGUGACAUCAGUUCUAGUGGCAACAGGAUCCAUUGGUGACUCUCCACACCUUCCCGAAUGUGGCUCAGCUCUGACCAGGAGAGAAGUCCUGUACAAGGGAGACAUCUCCACCUCCAUUCAUUCUCAGUGCCCUUUUAAGUCUUUGUUAAAACUCAUAAAUAGGUGUUACCUGGUGCCAGUGGCUACUCAAUUUUAUAGAUUAAUACUAAUUUUCAUCCAUCAGAAGCCACUGCACUAGCUGAAGUAUACAGUAUAAACUCAACAUCUAGAUGCAAGGAAAUUCAAAUACAUGGGCCAAAAUGGACCAAAAGAACUUUCAUUAUCCUGAUGCUUUAACUCUGACACCCACCUUUCAGAUACUCUGAAAGAUUGACACCCCUGAAGUACAUCCAGAAGACUUUCAGGAAUGAAAGGGAAAGAAACACCUUUCACAGCUGAAUACCUUGGACCAAGAAUGGGUCAACCUACUGGAUUCGACCUACUCGAUACAAAAAAUCAUGGACUAAAUAUAGACAUUGGAUUUAUGACACACAAACUGCCUAAUAUCUGACUCCCCAGGUACCUCUCCACUAUUUACCAGCUAUAUUCAUUCCCCUUCCCCUACCUGUCUCUCACCCACUGACUCCUCAAUUUACAUAGUCACUGAUUGGCUUUCUUGAUGCAUACCAGCUUCUGGCUUCUUUACUGUUCAUUCCAUCCAUCCAGGAAGACCACACAUGAAGUGCAGAUGGUUCCUCAGCCUGACGAAGGGCAUUUUUACCUGAAAGCUUGCAAAGAAGAAUUUUCCAACUAUUUAAGUUGGUCUAAUAAAAGAUACCAGAUUUAUUCAAAGAA